ACACUGGUGGCAGAGGAGGCUGCAGGUGGAGCUGUCGGAGCCAGCCCCUCGGGGAUCUACAGCUUCCUCUCUGCGCCGGCAUCGCGGGCGCCUGGUGGCUGGAAGGACUGUGCAGCAGUCUUGCCUGCCCCAGACGUCUUGAGAGCUGAUGACAAUAACAUGGGCAAUGGCUGCUCUCAGAAGCUGGCGACUGCUAACCUCCUCCGGUUCCUAUUGCUGGUCCUGAUUCCAUGUAUCUGUGCUCUUGUUCUCUUGCUGGUGAUCCUGCUUUCCUAUGUUGGAACAUUACAAAAGGUCUAUUUUAAAUCAAAUGGGAGUGAACCUUUGGUCACUGAUGGUGAAAUCCAAGGGUCCGAUGUUAUUCUUACAAAUACAAUUUAUAACCAGAGCACUGUGGUGUCUACUGAACAUCCCGACCACCACGUUCCAGCCUGGACUACGGAUGCUUCUCUCCCAGGGGACCAAAGUCACAGGAAUACAAG
rnacentral:sRNA from 1 species